GGAGAGUCUGGAAAGUUUUGGAGUGUGUGCCGAGUGCCAAGGCUACAGGUGAUGUCAAGAAGGGAGCGUUCACUCUGCUGCUACUACAGAGGCACAGCUGACCUGAGGACAGGCUGCUCCACUUCGACUGUUUGCUGAGUAAACCUCCUCCACCCAGCUAAUCACCUCCAACACACACUCACCUCCUGCUGCCGGAGACAGCUGAGGUUCGCGAAGCUUCAGCUCGAGCUGCAUUCACAACAAACAGCUUCAGCUUCACUGAAAUGUUGUGUUCUCAGAAAACACUGACUGCACAUCCACAGAGGGAGGAGUCACUUCAGUCCAAAUCAGGCGAUCAGCUCAGAGCCGUGUGGGCCUUCUCCAGCAGGGCGCUCCAGAACUCUCCUCCCUCGGCCGAGUGGACGAACAGCAGCUUCCCGUCUCUGGUGGGCAGCCGGUCAUCCACAACCACGUCCACCCACUCCCCAUACUGCCACAGCUACAGAGACGUUAACAUGUCAUGUGAUCUGAACAUGGUGGGCGGGGCUGUCCACAAAGUUUUGGCCAUCAGAUUUUUAUUUACGGUUUGAAGAAUUUCCAGAUUUAAUGACAGAC